rnacentral:rRNA from 1 species
GUUUGGUCAAGCUACUAAGGGCGCUUGGUGGAUGCCUUGGCGGAGACUGGCGAUGAAGGACGUGUCUAGCUGCGAUAAGCUUCGGGGAGCUGCUAAGAGAGCUUUGAUCCGGAGAUGUCCGAAUAGGGAAACCUUCUCCCGUUCGCGGGAGAAUCUUCCAGCUGAAUUCAUAGGCUGGUUGAAGCGAACCCAGGGAACUGAAACAUCUCAUGUACCUGGAGGAAAAGAAAUCAAUUGAGAUUUCCUGAGUAGUGGCGAGCGAAAGGGAAAGAGUCUAAACCUAUGCUAACUUGUUAGCAUAGGGGUUGCGGGACUCCGAUAUGGGAUUGCGGAUGGAUAGUUGAACGGUCUGGAAAGGCCGGCCAUAGUAGGUGAUAGCCCUGUAAACGAAAUCUUGAAGCACCCUAGGAGUAUCCCAAGUACCGCGGGGCACGAGAAACCCUGUGGGAAUCCGGGUGGACCAUCAUCCAAGACUACAAUACAUGUCUCCGACCGAUAGUGAACUAGUACCGCGAGGGAAAGGUGAAAAGUACCCAGAGAUGGGAGUGAAAUAGUAUCUGAAACCAUGCGCUUACAAGCAGUCGAAGCACUAUGUCCCAAGAGCAAUCGAGGGAAAUGUGUAACGGCGUGCCUUUUGCAUAAUGAGUCAGCGAGUUACUUUUUGUAGCAAGGUUAAGUCCGCAAGUGGACGGAGCCGUAGCGAAAGCGAGUCUGAAUAGGGCGAUUUAGUUGCAAGGAGUAGACCCGAAACCUAGUGAUCUAUCCAUGGGCAGGAUGAAGGCUCGUUAAACCGGGCUGGAGGUCCGAACUGGUGACCGUUGAAAAGGUCUCGGAUGACCUGUGGAUAGGGGUGAAAGGCUUAUCAAACUGGGAAAUAGCUGGUUCUCCCCGAAAUAUAUUGAGGUAUAGCCUCGUCGGAUUCAUCACGGAGGUAGAGCUACUGGAUGGUCUAGGGUCCCUUACCGGGAUACCAAAACCAACCAAACUCCGAAUUCCGUGAAUGACGAAGACGGGAGUCAGACGGUGGGUGAUAAUGUCCAUCGUCAAAAGGGAAAGAGCCCAGACCAUCGGCUAAGGCCCCAAAAUACACGCUAAGUGGGAAAGGAUGUGGAAACGCACAGACAGCCAGGAGGUUGGCUUAGAAGCAGCCAUCCUUUAAAGAAAGCGUAAUAGCUCACUGGUCAAGUGAGUCCGCGCCGAAAAUGUAACGGGGCUUUAAAGCGUGUUGCCGAAGCCGUGGAUGGCCGCCAAUUUAUGGCGUACGUGGUAGGGGAGCAUUCUGUAAGCCUGCGAAGGAUGAUCGUAAGAACAUCUGGAGGUAUCAGAAGAGCUAAUGCUGACAUGAGUAGCGAUAAUGAUGGUGAAAAACCAUCACGCCGAAAACCCAAGGUUUCCUGAGCAAGGUUAAUCCUCUCAGGGUUAGUCGGUACCUAAGUCGAGGCCGAAAGGCGUAGAUGAUGGAUGGCAGGUUAAUAUUCCUGCACCGCUUUGGUUGCGUUAAAACCUUCGGGGUGACGAAGAAGGGUAAACAAUCGGUCGAUUGGAAGUGACCGUUUAAGCUCGUAGGAGGGUGUCCUAGGUAAAUCCGGGAUGCCAUUAACUCCGAGAAGUGAGUACGACUGAUUCCACUUCGGUGGAUGAUGAUAGUUGUUGAUCCCAUGCUUCCGAGAAAACCCUCGUCGGGAGUUACCAAGGUGACCGUACCGGAAACCGACACAGGUGGGUGAGGUGAAAAUCCUAAGGCGCUUGAGUGAUCUCUGGCUAAGGAACUCUGCAAAUUGAUGCCGUAACUUAGGGAGAAGGCAUGCCUCAUGAUGUGAGUACCCUCGCGGUACAAAGCGUUAUGGGGUCGCAGUGAAACGGUGGUAGCGACUGUUUAACAAAAACACAGGGCUCUGCUAAGUCGAUUAAAGACGAAGUAUAGGGUCUGACGCCUGCCCGGUGCUGGAAGGUUAAGGAGAGAUGUCAUCUGCCGCAAGGUGGAGAAGCUUCGAACCGAAGCCCCAGUAAACGGCGGCCGUAACUAUAACGGUCCUAAGGUAGCGAAAUUCCUUGUCGGGUAAGUUCCGACCUGCACGAAUGGCGUAACGACUGCCACACUGUCUCGGCCAGAAGCUCAGCGAAAUUGAAUUUGCGGUGCAAAUGCCGCAUUCCCGCGGAAAGACGGAAAGACCCUGUGCACCUUUACUAUAACUUGACAUUGAACUUCGGGGCGGUUUGUGUAGGAUAGGUGGGAGACUUUGAAGUUUCGGCGCUAGCCGGAAUGGAGUCAACCUUGAAAUACCACCCUGAUUGUUCUGGAGUUCUAACAGAUACCCGUUAUCCGGGUACUGGACACUGUCUGGUGGGUAGUUUGACUGGGGCGGUCGCCUCCUAAAUUGUAACGGAGGCGCGCAAAGGUUCUCUCAGGCUGAUUAGAAACCAGCCGUUGAGUGCAAAGGCAUAAGAGAGCUUAACUGUGAGACCAACAAGUCGAGCAGAUGGGAAACCAGGUCUUAGUGAUCCGGUGGUUCUGAAUGGAAGGGCCAUCGCUCAUCGGAUAAAAGGUACGCCGGGGAUAACAGGCUGAUCUCCCCCAAGAGUUCACAUCGACGGGGAGGUUUGGCACCUCGAUGUCGGCUCAUCGCAUCCUGGGGCUGAAGUAGGUCCCAAGGGUUUGGCUGUUCGC